UGGCGGCAGGCCUAACACAUGCAAGUCGAGCGGUAACAUUUCUAGCUUGCUAGAAGAUGACGAGCGGCGGACGGGUGAGUAACGCGUAGAAAUCUACCUAGUAGUGGGGGAUAGCCCAGAGAAAUUUGGAUUAAUACCGCAUACGCCCUACGGGGAAAGCGGGGGAUCUUCGGACCUCGUGCUAUUAGAUGAGUCUGCGUCGGAUUAGCUUGUUGGUGAGGUAAUGGCUCACCAAGGCGACGAUCCGUAGCUGGUCUGAGAGGAUGACCAGCCACACUGGAACUGAGACACGGUCCAGACUCCUACGGGAGGCAGCAGUGGGGAAUAUUGCACAAUGGGCGCAAGCCUGAUGCAGCCAUGCCGCGUGUGUGAAGAAGGCCUUAGGGUUGUAAAGCACUUUCAGCAGUGAGGAAAGGGGUGUCGUUAAUAGCGCCAUCCUGUGACGUUAACUGCAGAAGAAGGACCGGCUAACUCCGUG
rnacentral:rRNA from 1 species